rnacentral:rRNA from 1 species
ACGGGUGAGUAUCGCGUAGGGAUCUAUCCACGGGUGGGGGAUAACAUCGGGAAACUGAUGCUAAUACCGCAUGAUACCUGAGGGUCAAAGGCGCAAGUCGCCUGUGGAGGAACCUGCGUUCGAUUAGCUUGUNGGUGGGGUAAAGGCCUACCAAGGCGAUGAUCGAUAGCUGGUCUGAGAGGAUGAUCAGCCACACUGGGACUGAGACACGGCCCAGACUCCUACGGGAGGCAGCAGUGGGGAAUAUUGGACAAUGGGCGAAAGCCUGAUCCAGCAAUGCCGCGUGUGUGAAGAAGGUCUUCGGAUUGUAAAGCACUUUCGACGGGGACGAUGAUGACGGUACCCGUAGAAGAAGCCCCGGCUAACUUCGUGCCAGCAGCCGCGGUAAUACGAAGGGGGCUAGCGUUGCUCGGAAUGACUGGGCGUAAAGGGCGCGUAGGCGGUUUACACAGUCAGAUGUGAAAUUCCAGGGCUUAACCUUGGGGCUGCAUUUGAUACGUGUAGACUAGAGUGUGAGAGAGGGUUGUGGAAUUCCCAGUGUANAGGUGAAAUUCGUANAUAUUGNGAACAACACCGGUGGCGAANGCGGCNNCCUGNCUCAUUANUGACGCUGAGGCGCGAAANCNUGNGGAGCAAACAGGAUUAUAUACCCUGGUAGUCCACGCUGUA